UUUAGAGAAACGUUUUCGGGGCCGGCAGCCAGUACAAGUUCUUUGGAACAAGGCAUCACAGAGGGUGAAAAUCCCGUCUUUGACUGGCUGCUUGGUUCCAUGUGAUACGUUUUCCAAGAGUCGGUUUGUUUGGGAAUGCAGACCAAAAUGGGUGGUAAAUACCAUCUAAAGCUAAAUAUUGGCGAGAGACCGAUAGCGAACAAGUACCGUGAGGGAAAGAUGAAAAGAACUUUGAAAAGAGAGUUAAACAGUGCGUGAAAUUGUCAAAAGGGAAACGUUUAAAACCAGUAUUGCGGGCAGAAACUCAGGUUCCAUUUAUGGUGCUGUAUUUUUCUGUCGGCGAGUCAACAUCAGUUUUGCUUGGAGUAAAACGCCAGGGGAAGGUAGCCUUCGGGUGUUAUAGCCUCUGGUAAUGCUCUGGGCGGGACUGAGGACUGCAGCGUUCUUUGGGUCUACCACACCAACGCUUAGGAUGUUGACGAAAUGGUUUUAAGCGACCCGUCUUGAAACACGGACCAAGGAGUCUAACAUAUAUGCGAGUAUUUGGGUGGCAAACCCUUAUGCGUAAUGAAAGUGAAAAGGUGGGAUCCUUUGCUGGUGCACCAUCGACCGCGCCAGAUUAUUGCUAUCUCGGCGUGAGUAUGAGCAUACAUGUUGGGACCCGAAAGAUGGUGAACUAUGCCUGAAUAGGGUGAAGCCAGAGGAAACUCUGGUGGAGGCU
rnacentral:rRNA from 1 species